GAUGAAGAACGUAGCGAAAUGCGAUAAGUAAUGUGAAUUGCAGAAUUCAGUGAAUCAUCGAAUUUUUGAACGCACAUUGCGCCCGCCAGUAUUCUGGCGGGCAUGCCUGUCUGAGCGUCAUUUCAACCCUCAUGCCCCUAGGGCGUGGUGUUGGGGAUCGGCCAAAGCCCGCGAGGGACGGCCGGCCCCUAAAUCUAGUGGCGGACCCGUCGUGGCCUCCUCUGCGAAGUAGUGAUAUUGCGCAUCGGAGAGCGACGAGCCCCUGCCGUUAAACCCCCAACUUUCCAAGGUUGACCUCAGAUCAGGUAGGAAUACCCGCUGAACUUAAGCAUAUCAAUAAGCGGAGGA
rnacentral:misc_RNA from 1 species